GAAAUGCGAUAAGUAAUGUGAAUUGCAGAAUUCAGUGAAUCAUCGAAUAUUUGAACGCACCUUGCGCUCCUUGGUAUUCCUUGGAGCAUGCCUGUUUGAGUAUCAUGAAAUCUUCAAAGUAAAUCUUUUGUUAACUCAAUUGGUUUCUACUUUGGUAUUGGAGGUCUUUGCAGCUUCACACCUGCUCCUCUUUGUUCAUUAGCUGGAUCUCAGUGUUAUGCUUGGUUCCACUCGGCGUGAUAAGUUAUCUAUCGCUGAGGACACUGUAAAAGGUGGCCAAGGUAAAUGCAGAUGAACCGCUUCUAAUAGUCCAUUGACUUGGACAAUACUUUUAUGAUCUGAUCUCAAAUCAGGUAGGACUACCCGCUGAACUUCAGC
rnacentral:misc_RNA from 1 species